UGCCAGCCGCCGCGGUAAUACUCGCGGUCCAAGUCGCAGCCAUUUUUAUUGGGUCUAAAACAUCCGUAGCUUGCUUCUUAAGUUCCCUGUGAAAUCUAAUAUCUCAAGUAUUGGAAUGGCAAGGGAUACUGCCUAACUAGAGACUGGGAGACGUAAGAAGUACGACUAGGGUAGCGGUAAAAUGCGUUGAUCCUUGUUGGACUAACAAUAGCGAAGGCAUCUUACGAGAACAGAUCUGACAGUGAGGGAUGAAGGCUAGGGGCGCAAAACGGAUUAGAUA
rnacentral:rRNA from 1 species